GCAGAACGCGAAGAACCUUACCUGGGUUUGACAUGGCCGACAAACCGGCAGAGAUGUCGGUCCUUCGGGGCGGUCACAGGUGGUGCAUGGCUGUCGUCAGCUCGUGUCGUGAGAUGUUGGGUUAAGUCCCGCAACGAGCGCAACCCUCGUUCGAUGUUGCCAGCGGUUCGGCCGGGGACUCAUCGAAGACUGCCGGGGUCAACUCGGAGGAAGGUGGGGAUGACGUCAAGUCAUCAUGCCCCUUAUGUCCAGGGCUUCACGCAUGCUACAAUGGCCGGUACAAUGGGCUGCGAUACCGUGAGGUGGAGCGAAUCCCAAAAAGCCGGUCUCAGUUCGGAUCGGGGUCUGCAACUCGACCCCGUGAAGUCGGAGUCGCUAGUAAUCGCAGAUCAGCAACGCUGCGGUGAAUACGUUCCCGGGUCUUGUACACACCG
rnacentral:rRNA from 1 species